rnacentral:rRNA from 1 species
CGCCCGCGAGGGUGCCCGCCGGUCUCAUCAGAAUCUCUGUUUUCGAACCCGACGAUACUUCUGAGUGUUCUUAGCGAACUGUCAAAACUUUUAACAACGGAUCUCUUGGCUCCAGCAUCGAUGAAGAACGCAGCGAAACGCGAUAUGUAAUGUGAAUUGCAGAAUUCAGUGAAUCAUCGAAUCUUUGAACGCACAUGGCGCCUUCCAGUAUCCUGGGAGGCAUGCCUGUCCGAGCGUCGUUUCAACCCUCGAGCCCCCGUGGCCCGGCGUUGGGGAUCUGCCACGGCAGGCCCCUAAAACCAGUGGCGGACCCGAAGGCCCUCUCCUUUGCGCAGUAGCAUCAGCCUCGCAUUGGGAUCCCUCGGCGUCCUGCCUCUAAACCCCCCACAAGUCCGCUCCGGCGGCACCAAGGUUGACCUCGGAUCAGGUAGGAAUACCCGCUGAACUUAAGCAUAUCAA